rnacentral:sRNA from 1 species
UAAAGUCCAUUGCUAUCAAUGCCUAUGGUUUUUGUAAAACUAGUAUUGGCUGCAUCUUCCUGUACAGCGUGUGUCUGUCUGAUUUGCUUCAUUGACACAUGUCACAAUUCUGUACAUAUUCUUGAAUAUCUUUCCACAUUCCUGGCCAGUAGUACAUUCUGGUGAUUCUUUCCAUCAUUUUAUUGGUUCCAAAAUGUUCUGCAGUUACCACAUCAUGAUUUUCUUGCAUUAUAUCAUUCCAUGCUGCUUUUGGAAUGUAAAUCGAUCUGUUGUGGUAGACUAUUUCAUUGUCCUUGAUCAUGUUUCUAGCCUGUUUGUCGCUUGCUGUGGCUUUUCUGAUCUUUUGUAUAUUCUCAUUAUCUGCUGAUAGAAUCUUUGUAGCCUGUAUUGCUUGUUGAUUAAAUGCUAUUCCAUCUUCUGCAUCCUUGAUGAAUAUCGCGUGUUUCUGACUUCCUUUGUCAUUAAGUCUGGUCUUUGGCUUAGCAUAUCUGCCCAGACAUUUUCUUUUCCUUUGCAGUGUCGAAUCUUGAAGUUGU